rnacentral:rRNA from 1 species
GACGAGUAGGGCGAGGCACGUGAAACCUUGUCUGAAUAUGGGGGGACCAUCCUCCAAGGCUAAAUACUCCUGACUGACCGAUAGUGAACCAGUACCGUGAGGGAAAGGCGAAAAGAACCCCUGUGAGGGGAGUGAAAUAGAUCCUGAAACCGCAUGCAUACAAGCAGUGGGAGCACCUUCGUGGUGUGACUGCGUACCUUUUGUAUAAUGGGUCAGCGACUUAUAUUCAGUAGCAAGGUUAACCGUAUAGGGGAGCCGUAGAGAAAUCGAGUCUUAAUAGGGCGUUUAGUUGCUGGGUAUAGACCCGAAACCAGGCGAUCUAUCCAUGAGCAGGUUGAAGGUUGGGUAACACUAACUGGAGGACCGAACCCACUGUCGUUGAAAAGCCAGGGGAUGACUUGUGGAUAGGGGUGAAAGGCUAAUCAAGCCUGGUGAUAGCUGGUUCUCCCCGAAAGCUAUUUAGGUAGCGCCUCGGACGAAUACCAUAGGGGGUAGAGCACUGUUUCGGCUAGGGGGUCAUCCCGACUUACCAAACCGAUGCAAACUCCGAAUACCUAUGAGUACUAUCCGGGAGACAGACUGCGGGUGCUAACGUCCGUAGUCAAGAGGAAAACAAUCCAGACCGCCAGCUAAGGCCCCAAAAUCAUAGUUAAGUGGGAAACGAUGUGGGAAGGCAUAGACAGCUAGGAGGUUGGCUUAGAAGCAGCCACCCUUUAAAGAAAGCGUAAUAGCUCACUAGUCGAGUCGGCCUGCGCGGAAGAUGUAACGGGGCUAAAA